rnacentral:rRNA from 1 species
CAUGAAGCUGGAAUCGCUAGUAAUCGCGAAUCAGAAUGUCGCGGUGAAUACGUUCCCGGGUCUUGUACACACCGCCCGUCACACCAUGGGAGUCAGUAACGCCCGAAGCCGGUGACCCAACCAAUUCAGGAGGGAGCCGUCGAAGGUGGGACCGAUAACUGGGGUGAAGUCGUAACAAGGUACC